UACGUAGGGUGCAAGCGUUGUUCGGAAUUAUUGGGCGUAAAGGGCGCGUAGGCGGUGCGGUAAGUCACCUGUGAAAUCUCCUGGCUCAACUGGGAGCUUGCAGGCGAAACUGCCGUGCUGGAGUGUGGGAGAGGUGCGUGGAAUUCCUGGUGUAGCGGUGAAAUGCGUAGAUAUCAGGAGGAACACCAAUUGCGAAGGCAGCUCGCUGGGACGUUACUGACGCUGAGACGCGAAAGCGUGGGGAGCAAACAGG
rnacentral:rRNA from 1 species